GCGCCUGUAGCUCAACUGGAUAGAGCACUAGUCUUCGGAACUAGGUGUUGGUGGUUCGAGUCCACUCAGGCGCG
rnacentral:tRNA from 1 species